rfam:Gossypium arboreum cultivar AKA8401 contig_38329_3, whole genome shotgun sequence.
AUGUCGUGAUGAGGACACUUUCGUAAUAACUCCUUGAACUGCUCCCAUGCUUCAUAUAAAGAUUCUUUAUAAAGUUGUUGAAAUGAAGUGAUUUUAUUUCGGAUCUU